AAAAGACAGCAGAUAAACCCCAACUCUAAUCACUUCACACAAUACACACACACACACACACUACACAAGUCCAUUUCAAAAAUGCAUCAAGAGAAUGUUUUAUUCUUGGUCAAGCACUCAAGCGGUCUUCAUCACAAUUUAAUGCAGAAACCAACUUCCCAUAUGCUUUUAUUUAGAAGGAGUAAGUGAAGAUUUAAUCUUCAUGAGAAGCUAUGCUCACAAUAUAAAUUACAAGAUUUGAUGAGUUGAAACUUUGUCAUUUGACUAAUAGUUAAUUGAUUGAAUUUUCGAGUGCCUGUCUCAUAUUAUUGGUUUUUUUU
rnacentral:misc_RNA from 1 species